CAAAAACAUGUCUGUUUGUAGAUAUAAAAAGUCUAGCCUGCCCACUGAUAAAUAAUUUUAAUGGCCGCGGUAUUUCUGACUGUGCAAAGGUAGCAUAAUAGUUAGUUUCUUAAUUGGAAUCUUGUAUGAAUGGUUUGACAAGAAAAAAUCUGUCUCACAACUAUUUAUUGAAUUUAACUUUUAAGUGAAAAGGCUUAAAUAAAUUAAAAAGACGAUAAGACCCUAUAAAGCUUAAUAUUAUUUUAUUAUUUAAUAGAAUUUUUAAAUAUAAGUAUUUGGUAAUAAUUUAUAUUUUAUUGGGGUGAUAAUAAUAAAAUGAUUAUUAACUGUUAAUUGAUUAAAACAAAAAUAAAUGAAUAUAAAAUGAUUUAGUAAAUGAUCCUAUAUUAAAGAUUAAAAGUUUAAGUUACUUUAGGGAUAACAGCGUUAUUUUUUUUAAGAGUUCUUAUCGAAAAAAAAGUUUGCGACCUCGAUGUUGAAUUAAAAUAUCUAUAUAAUUGUAGUAGUUAUAUAAGAAGGUCUGUUCGACCUUUAAAUUUUUACAUGAUUUGAGUUCAAACCGGUUUA
rnacentral:rRNA from 1 species